AUCUAUAGCCAUACCACCCUGAACACGCUGAUCUUGUCUGAUCUCAGAAGCUAAGCAGGGUCAGGCCUGGUUAGUACGUGGAUGGGAGAAAUACGUUUGUUUAAUAUU
rnacentral:rRNA from 1 species